UCCCUGGUGGUUUAGCGGCUAAGGAUCCCUCACUCUCACCCCUGUGGCCUGGGUUUGAUUCCCAGCCAGGGAA